CCUUCGAUAGCUCAGUUGGUAGAGCGGUGGACUGUAGUUGAAGAAGGGGCACUGGCCCUAGCAGUAAUCCAUAGGUCACUGGUUCAAAUCCGGUUCGAAGGA
rnacentral:tRNA from 1 species